rnacentral:rRNA from 1 species
CGAAAGCCUGACGGAGCAAGACCGCGUGGGGGAAGAAGGCUCUUGGGUUGUAAACCCCUUUUCUCUGGGAAGAAAGUUGUGAAAGCAGCCUGACGGUACCAGAGGAAUCAGCAUCGGCUAACUCCGUGCCAGCAGCCGCGGUAAGACGGAGGAUGCAAGCGUUAUCCGGAAUGAUUGGGCGUAAAGCGUCCGCAGGUGGCAGUUCAAGUCUGCUGUCAAAGACCGGGGCUUAACUUCGGAAAGGCAGUGGAAACUGAACAGCUAGAGUAUGGUAGGGGCAGAGGGAAUUCCUGGUGUAGCGGUGAAAUGCGUAGAGAUCAGGAAGAACAUCGGUGGCGAAGGCGCUCUGCUGAACCAUAACUGACACUCAGGGACGAAAGCUAGGGGAGCG